rnacentral:rRNA from 1 species
ACCUUAAAUUAACAUGCGAGCCGCAAGCGGGAAUGCUCAAAUUUGAAAUCUGGCGGUCUUUGGCCGUCCGAGUUGUAAUUUAGAGAAGCGUCUUCCGCAUCGGGCCGUGCACAAGUCUCCUGGAAUGGAGUGUCACAGAGGGUGAGAAUCCCGUCUCUGGCAUGGACUUUCGAUGCUUCUGUGAUGCGCUCUCAAAGAGUCGAGUUGUUUGGGAAUGCAGCUCAAAAUGGGUGGUGAACUCCAUCUAAAGCUAAAUAUUGGCGAGAGACCGAUAGCGAACAAGUACCGUGAGGGAAAGAUGAAAAGCACUUUNGGAAAGAGAGUGAAACAGUACGUGAAAUUGUUGAAAGGGAAACGCUUGAAGUCAGUCACGUUGACCGAGACUCGGCCUUGCCUCGGCUUGGCGUACUUCUCGGCUGAUGGGCCAGCAUCAAUUUCGUCCUUCGGAUAAUGGCAAGGGAAAGGUGGCACCCUUAUGGGUGUGUUAUAGUCUCCUGUCGCAUGCGAGGGGUGGGAUUGAGGAUCUCAGCACGCACCUUUCGGUGUCGGGGCUUCGGCCCACGCUUACGUGCUUAGGAUGUUGGCGUAAUGGCUUUAAACGACCCGUCUUGAAACACGGACCAAGGAGUCUAACAUGCCCGCGAGUGUUCGGGUGGAAAACCCGUGCGCGAAAUGAAAGUGAAAGUUGGGACCUCCGUCGUGGAGCGCACCAAUGCCCGGACCAGACCUUCUGUGACGGAUCUGCGGUAGAGCGUGCAUGUUGGGACCCGAAAGAUGGUGAACUAUGCCCUGAAUAGGGUGAAGCCAGAGGAAACUUCUGGGUGGGAGGCCUCCGUAGCGAUUUCUGACGGUGCAAUUCGAUCGGUCCAAUUUGCGCCUAUAGGGGGCCGCAAAAGGAAC